rnacentral:rRNA from 1 species
AACACGGAGCUUGCUCUGUGGGAUCAGUGGCGAACGGGUGAGUAACACGUGAGCAACCUGCCCCUGACUCUGGGAUAAGCGCUGGAAACGGCGUCUAAUACUGGAUAUGUGACGUGACCGCAUGGUCUGCGUCUGGAAAGAAUUUCGGUUGGGGAUGGGCUCGCGGCCUAUCAGCUUGUUGGUGAGGUAAUGGCUCACCAAGGCGUCGACGGGUAGCCGGCCUGAGAGGGUGACCGGCCACACUGGGACUGAGACACGGCCCAGACUCCUACGGGAGGCAGCAGUGGGGAAUAUUGCACAAUGGGCGCAAGCCUGAUGCAGCAACGCCGCGUGAGGGACGACGGCCUUCGGGUUGUAAACCUCUUUUAGCAGGGAAGAAGCGAAAGUGACGGUACCUGCAGAAAAAGCGCCGGCUAACUACGUGCCAGCAGCCGCGGUAAUACGUAGGGCGCAAGCGUUAUCCGGAAUUAUUGGGCGUAAAGAGCUCGUAGGCGGUUUGUCGCGUCUGCUGUGAAAUCCGGAGGCUCAACCUCCGGCCUGCAGUGGGUACGGGCAGACUAGAGUGCGGUAGGGGAGAUUGGAAUUCCUGGUGUAGCGGUGGAAUGCGCAGAUAUCAGGAGGAACACCGAUGGCGAAGGCAGAUCUCUGGGCCGUAACUGACGCUGAGGAGCGAAAGGGUGGGGAGCAAACAGGCUUAGAUACCCUGGUAGUCCACCCCGUAAACGUUGGGAACUAGUUGUGGGGUCCAUUCCACGGAUUCCGUGACGCAGCUAACGCAUUAAGUUCCCCGCCUGGGGAGUACGGCCGCAGGCUAAAACUCAAAGGAAUUGACGGGG